AAGCCAAUGACAUCGCGCUGGGAGCCCGGGACCGGAGUGGCGGGCGGGUGGACGAGCAGCGGGGGGAAGUCCAGCAGGCAGAAGGACACGGCGGGGCAUGGGGCUCCCGGGGACGAUGGUCCGGCCUCCAGGCGCACCCAGUCCACGAGCAACUCCAGGGAAAAGAGGCGCUCAGCCUCCACGGCCGCCAUUGCCGUUACCUCCGAGACGCCACUGUCCGGAAGUCGAAGUCCUAGACUCGCGAGAGCAUCUCCUCCAUUCUCCAUGGAUACAAACUCACUGAUAAGAGGCUGGCUGUAUAAUCAUCUGUACUUGACUGGGACAGAGGGAACUAGAGAUGCUGCCUGCCAGGAGGAGGAUCCACAGUUGAGGAAGAAGAGUCCGUGUGAAACUAACUAGGACGAAGUGGAAAUCCAUCUUCUUUAUUUGGGAAUACAGAUGGUCCCCUAGUUAAGAUUUUUCAUCUGUACAAUGGUGUGAAAACAUACCCAUAUAACCAUUGUGUUUUUAACUUUCAGUUCAGUAUUCAAUAAAUUAUGUAAGAUAUUUACAUAAAUACAUGUCAAAUUACAUAAGACACUUUGUUAUAAAAUAGGCUUUAUGUUCAAUGUGUUGUUUAAAAUAGGACUAAUGUUAGUUGAUUUUACCCAACUGUAGGCUAAUGUAAAUCUUCUAAGCGUGUUUAAGGAAGGCUAGGUUAAGCUGUGAUGUUGGGUAGAUUGUAUUAAAUACAUUUUCAGAUUUUGAUAUUUUUAAUUUACAAUGAGCUUAUCAGGGCAUUAUAAGUUGAG
rnacentral:lncRNA from 1 species